AUUCCAGCUCCAAUAGCGUAUAUUAAAGUUGUUGCGGUUAAAACGUUCGUAGUUGAACUUGUGCUUCAUACGGGUAGUACAACUUACAAUUGUGGUUAGUACUAUACUUUAUGUAUGUAAGCGUAUUACCGGUGGAGUUCUUAUAUGUGAUUAAAUACUUGUAUUUUUUCAUAUGUUCCUCCUAUUUAAAAACCUGCAUUAGUGCUCUUAAACGAGUGUUAUUGUGGGCCGGUACUAUUACUUUGAACAAAUUAGAGUGCUUAAAGCAGGCUUCAAAUGCCUGAAUAUUCUGUGCAUGGGAUAAUGAAAUAAGACCUCUGUUCUGCUUUCAUUGGUUUUCAGAUCAAGAGGUAAUGAUUAAUAGAAGCAGUUUGGGGGCAUUAGUAUUACGACGCGAGAGGUGAAAUUCUUGGACCGUCGUAAGACUAACUUAAGCGAAAGCAUUUGCCAAAGAUGUUUUCAUUAAUCAAGAACGAAAGUUAGAGGUUCGAAGGCGAUCAGAUACCGCCCUAGUUCUAACCAUAAACGAUGCCAGCUAGCAAUUGGGUGUAGCUACUUUAUGGCUCUCUCAGUCGCUUCCCGGGAAACCAAAGCUUUUGGGCUCCGGGGGAAGUAUGGUUGCAAAGCUGAAACUUAAAGGAAUUGACGGAAGGGCACCACCAGGAGUGGAGCCUGCGCUUAAUUUGACUCAACACGGGAAAACUUACCAGGUCCGAACAUAAGUGUGUAAGACAGAUUGAUAGCUCUUUCUCGAAUCUAUGGGUGGUGGUGCAUGGCCGUUCUUAGUUCGUGGAGUGAUUUGUCUGGUUAAUUCCGAUAACGAACGAGACUCAAAUAUAUUAAAUAGAUAUCUUCAGGAUUAUGGUGCUGAAGCUUAUGUAGCCUUCAUUCAUGUUGGCAGUAAAAUGCUUAUUGUGUUUGAAUGUGUUUAUGUAAGUGGAGCCGUACCUGUUGGUUUGUCCCAUUAUAAGGACACUAGCUUCUUAAAUGGACAAAUUGCGUCUAGCAAUAAUGAGAUUGAGUAAUAACAGGUCUGUGAUGCCCUUAGAUGUCCUGGGCUGCACGCGCGCUACAAUGAAAGUAUCAACGUGUAUUUCCUAGACCGAGAGGUCCGGGUAAACCGCUGAACCACUUUCAUGCUUGGGAUUGUGAACUGAAACUGUUCACAUGAACUUGGAAUUCCCAGGUAGUGUGAGUCAUUAACUCGCAUUGAUUACGUCCCUGCCCUUUGUACACACCGCCCGUCGCUACUACCGAUUGAAUUAUUUAGUGAGGUCUCCGGACGUGAUCACUGUGACGCCUUGCGUGUUACGGUUGUUUCGCAAAAGUUGACCGAACUUGAUUAUUUAGAGGAAGUAAAAGUCGUAACAAGGUUUCCGUAGGUGAACCUGCGGAAG
rnacentral:rRNA from 1 species